GGAGGUAGUGACAAUAAAUCUCAAUACGAAGCCUUUGGUUUUGUAAUUGAAUUGAGAACAAUGUACAAUCGUUAUCGAUAAACAAUUGGAGGGCAAGUCUGGUGCCAGCAGCCGCGGUAAUUCCAGCUCCAAUAGCGUAUAUUAACGUUGUUGCAGUUAAAAAGCUCGUAGUUGAAGUUUAGAUGGUUUGAAGGGGGUGCAAAUACCUUCGGUAUUUCCUGCUCUCUUUGGAUUAUCGACUUCCAGGUAAGUAUAAUGUACCUUUCGGGGUUCGUUAUACCAGACUGGUCUUUUACUGUGAGAAAAUUAGAGUGUUUAAAGCAGACUUUUAUUUAGUUUGAAUAGAUUAGCAUGGAAUAAUAAGAUUGGCUUUCAUAGUCGAUUUUUUGGUUUGUUUAUGAAAGCAAGAUUAAUAGGGACAGUUGGGGGUAUUCAUAUUCAAUAGCUAGAGGUGAAAUUCUAUGAUUUAUGGAAGAUGAACAAGUGCGAAAGCA
rnacentral:rRNA from 1 species